UCCAGGAAGAGAGGCAGAAACUCACUGCCCAGGUGGAGCAGCUAGAGGUAUUUCAGAGAGAGCAAACUAAGCAGGUAAUGCCUGAGGUCCUCGCUAAAUGCUGGCUGCUUAAACGGUGACCAGUCUUGGUGCAUGAGCCCGGCUGCAGCUUGCCUCCGCCAGCUCCUGUUGUGAACUGUUUGUGAAGGGGGCAGGGUCAAGCCAUGGAAUCCAGGC
rnacentral:lncRNA from 1 species